UCGACGAAGCGCCUUGCCGGAACCCCUUCGGGGAGGAAGGCAUCGCUACUGAGUGGCGGACGGGUGAGUAACGCGUGGGCAACCUGCCCCAUACAGGGGGAUAACAGUUAGAAAUGACUGCUAACACCGCAUAAGCGCACAGGGCCGCAUGGCCCGGUGUGAAAAACUCCGGUGGUAUGGGAUGGGCCCGCGUCUGAUUAGCCAGUUGGCGGGGUAACGGCCCACCGAAGCGACGAUCAGUAGCCGACCUGAGAGGGUGACCGGCCACAUUGGGACUGAGACACGGCCCAAACUCCUACGGGAGGCAGCAGUGGGGAAUAUUGCACAAUGGGGGGAACCCUGAUGCAGCGACGCCGCGUGAGCGAAGAAGUAUCUCGGUAUGUAAAGCUCUAUCAGCAGGGAAGAAAAAUGACGGUACCUGACUAAGAAGCCCCGGCUAACUACGUGCCAGCAGCCGCGGUAAUACGUAGGGGGCAAGCGUUAUCCGGAUUCACUGGGUGUAAAGGGAGCGUAGACGGCGACGCAAGUCUGGAGUGAAAGCCCGGGGCCCAACCCCGGGACUGCUCUGGAAACUGUACGGCUGGAGUGCAGGAGAGGUAAGUGGAAUUCCUAGUGUAGCGGUGAAAUGCGUAGAUAUUAGGAGGAACACCAGUGGUGAAGGCGGCUUACUGGACUGUAACUGACGUUGAGGCUCGAAAGCGUGGGGAGCAAACAGGAUUAGAUACCCUGGUAGUCCACGCCGUAAACGAUGAUCACUAGGUGUCGGGGGUUAAAGAACCU
rnacentral:rRNA from 1 species